rnacentral:rRNA from 1 species
GACGAACGCUGGCGGCGUGCUUAACACAUGCAAGUCGAACGAUGAAGCGGCCAGCUUGCUGGUGGUGGAUUAGUGGCGAACGGGUGAGUAACACGUGAGUAACCUGUCCUUCACUCUGGGAUAAGCCCUGGAAACGGGGUCUAAUACUAGAUAUUCUCAAUGUGCCGCAUGGUGUGUUGUGGAAAGAUUUUUUGGUGAGGGUUGGACUCGCGGCCUAUCAGCUUGUUGGUGGGGUAACGGCCUACCAAGGCAACGAUGGGUAGCUGGUCUGAGAGGACGAUCAGCCACACUGGGACUGAGACACGGCCCAGACUCCUACGGGAGGCAGCAGUGGGGAAUCUUGCGCAAUGCGCGAAAGCGUGACGCAGCAACGCCGCGUGGGGGAAGACGGCCUUCGGGUUGUAAACCCCUUUCAGGAGGGACGAAGGUUCGCCGGUGAAUAGCCGUGCGGAUUGACGGUACCUCCACAAGAAGCUCCGGCUAACUACGUGCCAGCAGCCGCAGUAAUAC